rnacentral:rRNA from 1 species
UACAGAGGUGGCAAGCGUUGUUCGGAAUUACUGGGCGUAAAGGGCGCGUAGGCGGCCUUCUAAGUCAGACGUGAAAUCCCCAGGCUUAACUUGGGAACUGCGUCUGAUACUGGGAGGCUUGAAUGCGGGAGAGGGAUGUGGAAUUCCUGGUGUAGCGGUGAAAUGCAUUGAUAUCCAGAGGAACUCCGGUGGCGAAGGCGGCACGCUGGACCCUUUCUGACGCUGAGGCGCGAAAGCCAGGGGAGCAAACGGG